GGAUUGCCUUAGUAACGGCGAGUGAAGCGGCAACAGCUCAAAUUUGAAAUCUGGCGUCUUUGGCGUCCGAGUUGUAAUUUGCAGAGGAUGCUUCGGCGUUGGCGCCGCCCAAAGUUCCUUGGAACGGGACGUCGCAGAGGGUGAGAGCCCCGUGUUCGGGCGGAUGCCUUCGCCGUGUGAAGCUCCUUCGACGAGUCGAGUUGUUUGGGAAUGCAGCUCAAAACGGGAGGUAAAUUUCUUCCAAAGCUAAAUACCGGCCGGAGACCGAUAGUGCACAAGUAGAGUGAUCGAAAGAUGAAAAGCACUUUGGAAAGAGAGUCAAACAGCGCGUGAAAUUGUUAAAAGGGAAGCGCUUGCGGUCAGAACUUGGCCGCCGUUGCUCGGGGAGGUCUUGCGCCUCCCUCGCUCUUCGGCGGCUGGGCCAGCAUCGGUUCGGGCGGCUCGAGAAAGGUCGCGGGAAUGUAGCUCCCUCCGGGGAGUGUUAUAGCCCGCGGCGCAAUAGGGCCCGCCUGGACCGAGGUCUGCGCAUUUGCUCGGAUGCUGGCGUAAUGGCCCCAAGCGGCCCGUCUUGAAACACGGACCAAGGAGUCUAACAUUCGUGCGAGUGUUCGGGUGUCAAACCCGUGCGCGCAAUGAAAGUGAACGUAGGUGGGAACCCCUCGUGGGCGCACCAUCGACCGAUCCUGAUGUCUUCGGAUGGAUUUGAGUAUGAGCACGUAUGUUGGGACCCGAAAGAUGGUGAACUAUGCCUAAGCAGGGCGAAGCCAGAGGAAACUCUGGUGGAGGCUCGCAGCGGUUCUGACGUGCAAAUCGAUCGUCAAAUUUGGGUAUAGGGGCGAAAGA
rnacentral:rRNA from 1 species